GACGUAGGGUGCGAGCGUUGUCCGGAUUUAUUGGGCGUAAAGAGCUCGUAGGCGGCUCGUCGCGUCGACCGUGAAAACCCGCGGCUUAACCGCGGGCUUGCGGUUGAUACGGGCGGGCUAGAGUUCGGUAGGGGAGACUGGAAUUCCUGGUGUAGCGGUGAAAUGCGCAGAUAUCAGGAGGAACACCGGUGGCGAAGGCGGAUCUCUGGGCCUUACCUGACGCUGAGGAGCGAAAGCAUGGGGAGCAAACAGG
rnacentral:rRNA from 1 species